rnacentral:pre_miRNA from 1 species
AGUGUGAUAACACUUAGAAGGGAGCUAUUUAUCAUUCUAAUUGUCAUCACUCAG